rnacentral:rRNA from 1 species
UAGGGAAUAUUGGUUAAUGUGCGAAAGCGCGAACCAGCAACGCCGCGUGUGCGAUGAAGGCCUUCGGGUCGUAAAGCACUUUUUGCAGGGAAGAGGAAGGACGGUACCUGCAGAAUAAGUCUCGGCUAACUACGUGCCAGCAGCCGCGGAAAAACGUAGGAGACGAGCGUUAUCCGGAUUUACUGGGCGUAAAGCGCGUGCAGGCGGCAUGGCAAGUUGGAUGUGAAAGCUCCCGGCUUAACUGGGAGAGGUCGUUCAAAACUGCCAAGCUGGAGAGUGGUAGAGGGAAGCGGAAUUCCGAGUGUAGUGGUGAAAUGCGUAGAUAUCCGGAGGAACACCAGUGGCGAAAGCGGCUUCCUGGCCCAU